rnacentral:lncRNA from 1 species
CUUCAAAAGAAACCUGUGGACAGGUGAAUAGCAAAAAUUGCAUUUCUAUGUUUGUUUGUUUGUUUCAUAAAAUUCAUAUACCACUUGAUUGUAGGAAAAACCUUAAAGCGGUUAACAAAAAGAUAAAGAAAUAAAAUUAUCACUAAUAGAUUUACAACCACAAUUUAAAACAUACAGAAAGUUAAAACCACAAUAGAAUAGCAAAUUAAAACUCAUACAAACUUUCUAAACCUCUGGGAAGGCUUGUCUACAUAAGAAUGUCUUCAGCAGGUGCUGAAUUCUGACUCAAGCGCAGAGGUGUAGGCCCAUCACCAAAGAGGAAGCAAUCACAUUGUUGGUACAUGAAUUGAUGUCCACUUGUCUUGAUCAGCUGUACAUUAUUCUUAUCACUAUGCCAACAUAUUGUUAUCCUUACGCACAACCUUUCACAAUGUUAUAUAUAUAUAUGAAUGAAGAAGAGUUUGGAUUUGAUAUCCCGCUUUAUCACUACCCUAAGGAGUCUCAAAGCGGCUAACAAUCUCCUUUCCCUUCCUCCCCCACAACAAACACUCUGUGAGGUGAGUGAGGCUGAGAGACUUCAGAGAAGUGUGACUAGCCCAAGGUCACCCAGCAGCUGCAUGUGGAGGAGCGGAGACACGAACCCUGUUCACCAGAUUACGAGUCCAUCCCUCUUAACCACUACACCACACUGGCUCUCUAUAAUGACAGUUUAAGUCCCAUCAGUAUUGUGGAAGAUCCAGCUCUUUAGGACAUAUUAGUAUUGAUUUCAACUGGUCCAUGUCAGACCCCAUUGCCUCUGAGUCCUACAGCUUGAGUGAAAGUUGUAUGGAAGGCAGACGUUCUCCAAGCUGAGCUUUGGUUUCAGACUGAAAGUAAAAUAGAUCCCUAAGAUUAUGGGUGGCAAGCCACUGUAUAUUUGCACUAGCAUAAGGUCUAGCAUUGGCGCAAGGGGUUUUUAUCUCUCCUCACUCCCCAAGCACACCCUGUGCCAUCCCCGAACCUGCCCUGAAGGGUUAGGGGGAAACCCCAGAACAGAUUUAGAGAAUGCAGAGGGGGAACAAAGGAAGAGAUUAUUUUGUUGCACAAGGAGAAAUCAUUGCACAGACUGAUUUUCCUAACACUCUACUGAAUACAAGCCUUAGGGGGGAGGAAUCAAAUAUGCUACUUGGAAGAUGAGCUAGUGUGUUGGCGCUGUUUGCAUGGUAGCAUGUUCUUCAAGUUUCAGUUCCACCAAUCAGCAUUUGCCCUGGCUGAUUAAUAUGAUAUAAAGCAAGAGUCAGCCACCCCAAGAGUUACUUAUAUCUAGUCCAAGGGCUGGCAGCCUCCUUCUUCUUAGUCUCAGGGUUGCCAUUGUAGAUCUCAGUAGGGAGGAAGACGGCAGCAAAACCAGAAGGAGUUGGCUCUGCUGUGACUCUGCCAGCUGUUAACCUCUGUGCUUCCUGCCCCCCCCCCCCUCCCUCCAGUGCUCUCAGCCUUGAUUUUAAAACAAGAAUAGAAAAAACCAGUCUGGUUAUUGAAAGAGCCCAGUUUCUUACCUUUUGCAUUUUAAGUUGGUAGCAGAAGACAUUUUUUGGACAAGGCAAGAGAGGUCAUCCAUCACAAGCUGACUGGGAUGCCAAACCCAAAAAUAGUCAGGGUUCUUCCUCCCUCCCCUUUGAGGUGUUAAUGUAAGUGACUCCGUAGGAUUGCAGCCUGUCAUCCAGCUUGGCUUGUGCCAACGCCCAGCUUGGGAUUGUUUCUUGUUGGAUCGGGUCUCACUGUGUGUCCAGGCAUGAACAGGUCCAGUACCAUAUCAGGUGACUGGCUGUGGGCACAUCCUCCAUGCAGCAAAUAAUUUCAAAUGGAAAGAGACAGAAGACGGUGAAGAGCCAGGGCAAUAGAAAGGCUAAGGACACAGACUAUAAACAACCAGGACAGAACAAUUGCACACCAGGCUGCCCCCACCCCCAAGGCAGCAUAUUGCUGGAUUGUUGCAUAUAGGUAAAUAACCUAAGAAGUGGAGGCUGUCAGCCAAUCAGCCUACUGGUCUAUUGUGCCUUAGGGUUCAGAUCCAUGAGGAGCAGUGACUGCUUCCAAACAGUUCUGCAAGCCCAGUUUGAGGUCCAGUGCUCUUGACAGGUGAAUCCUUUUCAAACCACCCCCACCCACUUUUCUUUUCUCCCCCCCCCCCCCGGAUGUAAUGCAGGUAAUAUAGAUGCACUCCUUUAAGGCAUAGUGAAGAUUCAGCAAUAACAAGAGUAUUGCAUUAUAAAAUAGAUGAAAAGGGGUUUGUGUUCGGUUACAAUGCAAACAGUUGUACAUCUGUAUGAAAUUCCUUUGUGUCAGGUGUCGGGUUAUCUAGUUAAAAAGCCAUCCCUCUCGCCAUCAUGCCAGCUUUUCACAUGAGCUUUAAAGAGCAAUUUCUACCAUGCAAAUUAAUCAUACUUAAAUUAAAAUAAAGUGUGAACACAUACAGGUAAAUGUGCAAAUUUGCUAUUUUCACCCAUCUCUUCGAGGGCUCUUCCAUUUGGCUCAGGUGUGUGUGUGGGUGGGUGUGUGUCAUGUAUAUAUCUGUCAGAUGAGCUGAAUCGGGCUUGCUCUUUACUGCCAAGAAAGAAUUAAGUACAAAAUCUUCUGUAGGAAGCAAUUGUGAAGUGUGGAAGUUUCUAGUCAGGCAAAUAAAUUGGAUUUAAGUAUAUUACAGUCAUAAUCUUUUUCUGCCUCUCUCCAGACAGCCUUUGUACAUGGAGAAAUGAGAAUGUAUUCGCAGACAAAUCUUGACCUGAGGGAGAAGGCUGAGGGAAUCUGGAUUUUCAAUAACAUAAGACAAUAAAGCUCAGACUUCUAACCUGCUGCAAUAUGGUAAAAGUAUAAAGAGCUUAGCAACUAAUAAAAGGAAAGGGUCUUCCAACUCAUAUUUGAAGAUCUAGACCCCAAAAGGACACUCCAUAAAGAUCAUAAUGGGUUAGUCAGUAUCUAACAGAUACGAUGUACCUUGUUGACCAAUUGUCUGACAGUUGUCUUUUGUAGGGUCUGGAUAUUAAUAAGUCUCGGGUUGAUUUCCUUUGGGUAUUAGGCCUCAUAAUUGUACAUCUACUUGUUGUGACACUGCAGCUUGCUAUAUAUUUAUUUAAUGUGAUUCCUGUAGGGAUUCAAAAAGAAGAAGAAGGAAGGAAGACAGAAAUGGAGGAAUGCUGUUGCAUUUCUGUGAUCAUAUGCACACAUUGCAAAUUUUAUCUCCCUCUGAGGUAUUGUGAAUCAAAGUGAUUAUAGUGUAAGGGAGAGGACAUGAUCUUGGGGGCAAAGAGGAAAUCCAGAUGUUUUCCCCUAAGGUCAGAAACCAUCUUCCUCCCUUUCUGUUACAU